rnacentral:rRNA from 1 species
CCUACGGGUGGCUGCAGUAGGGAAUAUUGGGCAAUGGACGCAAGUCUGACCCAGCCACGCCGCGUGAAGGAUGACUGCCCUAUGGGUUGUAAACUUCUUUUGUAUGGGAAGAAACCUCCGAACGUGUUCGGAGCUGACGGUACCAUAAGAAUAAGCAUCGGCUAACUCCGUGCCAGCAGCCGCGGUAAUACGGAGGAUGCAGGCGUUGUCCGGAUUCAUUGGGUUUAAGGCGUGCGUAGACGGCAAUGUAGAAAGCUCGCAGCUUAACUGUGAAAAUGCCAUUGAAACUGAUUUUCUUGAGUUCGAUUGAGGGAGAUGGAAUGUAUCAUGUAGCGGUGAAAUGCUUAGAUAUGAUACAGAACACCAAUUGCGAAGGCAGUCGACUAAGUCGAUACUGACGCUGAGGCACGAAAGCAUGGGGAGCAAACAGGAUUAGAUACCCGAGUAGUC